GACGAACGCUGGCGGCGUGCUUAACACAUGCAAGUCGAGCGGUAAGGCCCUUCGGGUACACGAGCGGCGAACGGGUGAGUAACACGUGGGUGACCUGCCUUUAGCUCUGGGAUAAGCCUGGGAAACUGGGUCUAAUACCGGAUAUGACCUCAUGACGCAUGUUGUGGGGUGGAAAGCCCUGUGCGGCUAGAGAUGGGCCCGCGGCCUAUCAGCUUGUUGGUGGGGUGANGGCCUACCAAGGCGACGACGGGUAGCCGGCCUCGAGAGGGCGACCGGCCACACUGGGACUGAGACACGGCCCAGACUCCUACGGCAGGCAGCAGUGGGGAAUCUUGCGCAAUGGGCGAAAGCCUGACGCAGCGACGCCGCGUGAGGGAUGACGGCCU
rnacentral:rRNA from 1 species